CAGGGUGAUAGCCCCGUAACCGACGCUUCAUCGAGCGUGAAAUCGAGUAGGGCGGGACACGUGAUAUCCUGUCUGAAUAUGGGGGGACCAUCCUCCAAGGCUAAAUACUCCUGACUGACCGAUAGUGAACCAGUACCGUGAGGGAAAGGCGAAAAGAACCCCUGUGAGGGGAGUGAAAUAGAACCUGAAACCGUGUACGUACAAGCAGUAGGAGCACCUUCGUGGUGUGACUGCGUACCUUUUGUAUAAUGGGUCAGCGACUUAUAUUCAGUGGCAAGGUUAACCGUAUAGGGGAGCCGUAGCGAAAGCGAGUCUUAACUGGGCGCUCAGUCUCUGGAUAUAGACCCGAAACCGGGUGAUCUAGCCAUGGGCAGGUUGAAGGUUGAGUAACAUCAACUGGAGGACCGAACCGACUAAUGUUGAAAAAUUAGCGGAUGACUUGUGGCUAGGGGUGAAAGGCCAAUCAAACUCGGAGAUAGCUGGUUCUCCCCGAAAGCUAUUUAGGUAGCGCCUCGGACGAAUACUACUGGGGGUAGAGCACUGUUAAGGCUAGGGGGUCAUCCCGACUUACCAACCCUUUGCAAACUCCGAAUACCAGUAAGUACUAUCCGGGAGACACACGGCGGGUGCUAACGUCCGUCGUGGAGAGGGAAACAACCCAGACCGCCAGCUAAGGUCCCAAAGUAUUGCUAAGUGGGAAACGAUGUGGGAAGGCUCAGACAGCUAGGAUGUUGGCUUAGAAGCAGCCAUCAUUUAAAGAAAGCGUAAUAGCUCACUAGUCGAGUCGGCCUGCGCGGAAGAUGUAACGGGGCUAAGCAAUACACCGAAGCUGCGGCAAUGUCUUUUAGACAUUGGGUAGGGGAGCGUUCUGUAAGCCGUUGAAGGUGAAUCGUAAGGUUUGCUGGAGGUAUCAGAAGUGCGAAUGCUGACAUGAGUAACGACAAAGGGGGUGAAAAACCUCCUCGCCGGAAGACCAAGGGUUCCUGUCCAACGUUAAUCGGGGCAGGGUGAGUCGACCCCUAAGGUGAGGCCGAAAGGCGUAAUCGAUGGGAAACGGGUUAAUAUUCCCGUACUUCUGACUAUUGCGAUGG
rnacentral:rRNA from 1 species